rnacentral:snoRNA from 1 species
GCAUGGGUUUGGAUUUGUGGCAGGCCCGAUCCGUGGGCCUCUCACAGUGUCCCAUGCGAAAGCAGACUGUGGCCCCGAACCAUUGCCUGGCUUUACCCCGUGGGCUUCAGGCACUGAAGCGGGUUGCACAGUG